ACUCACUUUCUCAGUUCUGUUUCGCUUCUUCUUGUGUUGUGUUGGUCAAGUGUGUUGUGCAAUGGAUAAUCAAAAGAAGGGCAAAGGAGGAGACCAACCCAAGAAGUUAGCGAAGGUAUUGAAUACGAGCUCUCUCCAAAUAAAUGAAAAAGAUGCUUUUCAGUUGGUUGGUUCCAUCGUCGAAAAGGGUAUCUCUGAUUCACACAACAACCCCACAACAACACCACCCUUCCAUUUUUUCCCCAAACCCACUGUUCUUCCUUUCCCCGUUGCGCGCCAUCGUUCACAUGGCCCUCAUUGGCGUCCACUGAGUAGUAGAGGGGAUGAUGAUGGUGAGGAUGAUGAUAGUGACAAUAAUGUUAAGGAUGAAGAAGAUAAAAAUUUGCAGGAGUUUGAAAAAGUUUCAGCCUUUGCCAAGCCGGUACAGAGGAGGAGGAAAAAGGGUUUGGAUUUUAGAAAAUGGAAAGAGAUCACUCGGGAUGAUAGUUCUUCCUUCGGGAAGGAAUCAGAGAAGGAUGUGUCAAGCUUUAGCCAAACUACUGGGAAAAAGAAGAAUGAAAAGGGCAGUAAGAGCACAUACAAGAAAACCUCAUCUUUGGAUGAUAAUGUCAUUUCUCCAAUGAAAGUGGAUACAAAACCACUGUUAGAUAACUCAGAUGGUGGGUUUAUCAAUUCAACUACCACUAUGGAAGUAGAUACAUUAAAUAAGGUAGAUCAUGAGGAAAAAGUUAAACACGCCAGAAUUUAUGAUGACAAGGAGCAAAAUGAAUCUGUGCCUGGAUUGGACCAAAUUUCUUCUGAUUGGAUGCCUGAUUACAAUUUUGGAUCCCUGGAUGUGCAAAGGCCAGGGCAAACUGACUUGAAUUCAAGCAUGCUGUCUUGUUCUAGUUCCAAUAGUAUUAGAAGUGAACAAAAGUCCGUGUCUCUUGAUAGUGAAAUUGAUGCUGAGAAUCGAGCUCGGAUUCAGCAAAUGUCAGCUGAGGAGAUUGCAGAAGCCCAGACUGAGAUAAUGGAGAAGAUGAGCCCUGCAUUACUAAAAUUACUGCAGAAGAGGGGGCAGAAUAAAUUGAAGAAACUAAAAUUAGAAGUGGAUAUUGGCUCAGAAUCUGUGAAUGGACAUGCUCAGAGUCCUCAGGAUGCAAAACAUCUACACACAGAGGAUGGGAUCGCUCAAACAGUGAUUGUGCCACCAUCCAAAGAAAAGCUAGAUGAUGAGAAAAUUAGCACGAAGACUUCAACCACCGCUAGUAGUAGUGCAUGGAAUGCUUGGAGCAAUAGAGUUGAGGCUGUUAGGGAGCUACGAUUUUCCUUGGUUGGGGAUGUUGUUGAUUCUGAACGUGUAUCAGUUUAUGACAAUGCCAAUGAACGUGACUAUCUACGGACUGAGGGAGAUCCUGGUGCUGCCGGUUAUACAAUUAAAGAAGCAGUGGCACUCACUAGAAGUGUGAUUCCUGGACAAAGGACCCUUGCAUUGCAUCUCCUUUCAUCUGUGCUUGAUAAGGCAUUACACUAUAUUUGCGAAGACAGAACAGGGCAUAUGACAAAAAUUGAGAACAAAGUUGACAAAUCAGUUGACUGGGAGGCUGUUUGGGCUUUUGCACUCGGCCCAGAACCUGAGCUUGUGUUGUCACUUAGGAUAUGUCUUGAUGAUAACCACAAUUCUGUAGUUCUGGCCUGUGCAAAAGUUGUUCAAUGUGUAUUGAGUUAUGAUGCAAAUGAGAACUAUUGUAAUAUCUCAGAGAAGAUAGCAACUUGUGACAUGGAUAUUUGCACGGCUCCAGUUUUUAGGAGCAGACCUGAUAUUAAUGAUGGAUUCCUUCAAGGGGGUUUCUGGAAGUACAGUGCCAAACCUUCUAAUAUUCUUCCUUUCAGUGAUGAUUCAAUGGAUAAUGAGACCGAAGGAAAACAUACUAUUCAAGACGAUAUAGUGGUUGCUGGGCAAGAUUUUACUGUAGGUCUAGUUCGCAUGGGAAUCCUUCCUAGGCUUCGUUAUCUUUUGGAGACAGAUCCUACAACAGCUUUAGAAGAAUGUAUUAUUUCCGUACUGAUUGCUAUAGCGAGGCAUUCACCUACAUGUGCUAAUGCUGUACUGAAAUGUGAAAGACUUGUUCAGACAAUUGCAAAUAGAUAUACUGCUGAAAAUUUUGAAAUUCGAUCUUCUAUGAUUAGAUCUGUAAGACUCUUGAAGGUUUUAGCUCGGUCGGACCGGAAAUCUUGUUUAGAGUUUAUAAAGAAAGGGUAUUUUCAGGCUAUGACUUGGAAUUUAUAUCAAAGCCCUUCCUCCAUUGACCACUGGCUAAGGUUAGGGAAGGAAAAAUGUAAACUCACAUCUGCUCUGAUUGUUGAACAAAUGCGUUUCUGGAGGGUCUGCAUUCAAUAUGGAUAUUGUGUGUCUUACUUCUCGGAAAUGUUCCCUGCCUUGUGUUUUUGGUUGAAUCCGCCUUCAUUUGAAAAACUUGUUGAAAACAAUGUUUUGGAUGAAUCUACUUCCAUCUCUAGGGAGGCUUACCUUGUUCUGGAGUCUUUGGCUGGAAAACUUCCAAACCUAUUUUCAAAGCAGUGCCUAAACAAUCAACUUCCAGAGUCUGCUGGUGACACAGAGGUAUGGUCUUGGAAUUAUGUUGGUCCAAUGGUUGACUUAGCCAUAAAGUGGAUAGCAAGCAGAAAUGAUCCAGAAGUAUCUAAGUUCUUUGAGGGACAGGAAGAAGGAAGAUAUGACUUUACUUUCCGAGAUCUUUCUGCAACUCCUUUGUUGUGGGUGUAUGCUGCUGUGACUCACAUGCUUUUCAGAGUGCUUGAAAGGAUGACAUGGGGGGAUACUAUUGAAACUGAAGGGCAUGUGCCAUGGCUUCCAGAAUUUGUACCUAAGAUUGGACUUGAGGUAAUCAAAUAUUGGUUUUUGGGCUUUUCUGCAUCUUUUGGGGCAAAAUGUGGAAGAGAUUCUAAAGGCGAAUCUUUUAUGAAGGAACUAGUUUAUUUGAGGCAGAAGGAUGAUAUUGAAAUGUCUUUAGCUUCCACCUGUUGUCUAAAUGGAAUGGUUAAGAUUAUUACUGCAAUUGAUAAUCUGAUACAGUCUGCCAAGGCUAGCAUCUGUAGUCUCCCAUGCCAAGAACAAAGUCUCUCAAAAGAAGGAAAAGUGCUUGAGGAUGGCAUCGUUAAAGGGUGUUGGGUUGAAUUAAGGUAUAUGCUUGAUGUUUUCAUGUUUUCAGUUUCUUCAGGGUGGCACCGCAUACAGUCCAUUGAGUCAUUUGGCAGAGGAGGACUGGUUCCAGGGGCAGGAAUUGGAUGGGGUGCCUCAGGUGGAGGAUUUUGGUCAGCAACAGUUUUAUUGGCACAAGCAGAUGCAAGAUUUCUUGUCUAUUUGCUGGAAAUUUUUGAAAAUGCAUCUAAAGGUGUCGUGACUGAAGAAACAACCUUCACCAUCCAAAGGGUUAAUGCUGGCUUGGGAUUGUGUUUAACUGCAGGACCUAGAGAUAAGGUUGUUGUAGAAAAGACAUUGGAUUUCUUGUUCCAUGUCUCUGUUUUGAAGCACCUUGAUCUCUGCAUACAGAGUUUACUCUUGAAUAGGAGGGGUAAAACCUUUGGCUGGCAACAUGAAGAAGAGGAUUACAUGCACUUAAGCAGAAUGUUAUCAUCUCAUUUCAGGAGCAGAUGGUUGUCUGUAAAGGUGAAGUCUAAAUCUGUGGAUGGCAGUAGUUCCUCUGGCAUUAAGACCUCUCCAAAGGUUGGUGCUUGUUUGGAAACCAUAUAUGAGGAUUCAGACACGUCUUCCGUGACAACUCCGUGCUGUAAUUCUAUAAUGAUAGAAUGGGCUCACCAGAAACUACCACUUCCAGUUCACUUUUACCUUAGUCCAAUCUCAACAAUUUUCCAUAGCAAGCGGGCUGGUACUAAAAUUGUUGAUGAUGUACUACAUGAUCCCUCUAAUCUGCUUGAAGUCGCCAAAUGUGGACUUUUCUUUGUUUUAGGUGUUGAAGCAAUGUCCAUUUUUCAUGGCACUGACAUUCCUUCUCCUGUUCAACAAGUAUCAUUGACAUGGAAGUUACAUUCCUUAUCUGUCAAUUUCCUUGUUGGAAUGGAAAUACUUGAACAAGAUUGGAGCAGGGAUAUUUUUGAAGCUUUGCAGGAUCUUUAUGGUGAGCUUCUUGAUAAUGCAAGGUUAAACCAAAGUAAAGAAGUUAUUUCAGAUGAUAAAAAGCAUCUUGAGUUUCUGAGGUUCCAAACUGAGAUUCAUGAAAGUUACUCAACUUUUCUUGAAGAACUUGUGGAGCAGUUUUCUGCUGUUUCUUAUGGUGAUGUUAUUUUUGGCCGGCAAGUUUCACUUUAUCUACACCGUUGUGUUGAAACUUCCAUUCGACUUGCUGCCUGGAAUACACUGUCCAAUUCUCGUGUUCUUGAGCUUUUGCCACCUUUAGAAAAAUGCUUCUCUGGUGCUGAAGGAUACCUUGAACCCGCUGAGGAUAAUGAAGCAAUUUUGGAGGCUUAUACGAAUUUGUGGGUUUCUGAUGCCCUUGACAGGGCUGCAAUUCGAGGAUCAGUUGCAUAUACUCUUGUUGUCCAUCAUCUUUCCUCCUUUAUAUUUCAUGCCUGUCCCACGGAUAAGUUAUUGCUGCGAAACAGACUUGCUAGGUCUCUGUUGCGAGAUUAUGCUGGGAAACAGCAACAUGAGGGUAUGUUACUGAACCUCAUUCACCAUAACAAGCCACCACCAUCUGUCAUGGGAGAGGAGCUGAAUGGUAUACUUUCUGAAAAGAGUUGGUUAGAGUCCAGAUUAAAAGUAUUGGUUGAGGCUUGUGAGGGAAAUUCCUCUAUUUUGACAGUAGUAGAUAAGUUAAAGGCUGUUGUAAAAAACAGUUCAUAGUGAGAAUGGAGUCUGCUGGUUUUUUUAUCAAGAUUCUGGGAACCAAGUCCUAAGGCAUGCAAUGUACAUAAUGAAAGGAUACAGUCUUGUAUGGUAGAUGCUAAUACGACCAGGAGCAUUUAGGUCCUACGAAGAGACAAUACAUUACACAUGUGCUAACAAAGGAAGAAGGAUCAAUACAUGUGAAUUAGCUUAGGAGCAUUCAAUAACAAUUAAUCAUCUAGCUCUUGAUUGAGUGUUAUGUAUAAGCAUAUACGUAUUAACCCUUUUCCCUUUCUCAUCAUGUGUGUACUGACCCUUCUUAGAAUCAAAACUGCGCAGAAUUACAAACAUUUUACGAACCAUUGUUCUUGAACGCACACCAAAUUUUACUCACAAGCACAUCUAACGGAACAUCCACUUUCAUUUUUGUACUUAA